rnacentral:rRNA from 1 species
AACGAACGCUGGCGGCAUGCCUAACACAUGCCAGUCGAACGAGACCUUCGGGUCUAGUGGCGCACGGGUGCGUAACGCGUGGGAACCUGCCCUUAGGUUCGGAAUAACUCCCCGAAAGGGGUGCUAAUACCGGAUAGUGUCUUCGGACCAAAGAUUUAUCGCCUUUGGAUGGGCCCGCGUUGGAUUAGCUAGUUGGUAGGGUAAAAGCCUACCAAGGCGACGAUCCAUAGCUGGUCUGAGAGGAUGAUCAGCCACACUGGGACUGAGACACGGCCCAGACUCCUACGGGAGGCAGCAGUGGGGAAUAUUGGACAGUGGGCGAAAGCAUGAUCCAGCAGUGCCGCGUGAGUGAUGAAGGCCUUAGGGUUGUAAAGCUCUUUUACCCGGGAUGAUAAUGACAGUACCGGGAGAAUAAGCUCCGGCUAACUCCGU